AGUACAGAAAACCACCUAGACGUGCAUUAACCGGUUAGGGCCCCGGGGGUCCAGCUAUCGUCAAGGACAAGAAUCACAUACUAGGGCGGGAUAUCUCCGUAGCCAUCCCGGCGGCGGCGGUCCCUAGACCGAGGACAGCGUCCCGACUACAGACAAGGAAACUCGAACUCCCAGAAGCCGCCGCGCGGAGGCGGGGCGGAGGCUCGCCAGGCCCCAAAACGCUGAGGCCUGGGCUCGCGGAGGAUGGCGGGAACUGGAAGAGCGGCCGUCCGCAGUCCUCCCUCAUACCCUUGCCCCCGCGACCCGGCCCCUUCUCAAGCCCUCUGCACGCUGCUGAAAGAAGUUGUCCAUGUAGGCUCUGCAGCCAGACUCCUUGGAGAUUUUGAAAGGAACAUAAGCCCUCAAGAGAAAGAAUUAAUGAGGAGUAAAGUGGCAAACAAGGUGACAAAGUGGAGGGUAGAAGACCAGCAGUAAGUGUACAGGUCUUGCAUUCAUCCAAAAAGCACAUGUACACAGCUGUCUACAUACUAGGUAGUAGUGAUGCAAGAAAGAAAAUACUGCCCAGCCAGGGGUGGCUCAGUGGUUGAGGGUUGUUGCAUGAACCAAGAGGUCACCGGUUCUAUUCCCAGUGAGGGCAUAUG